CAGCCGCCGCGGUAAUACAGAGGGUGCGAGCGUUAAUCGGAUUUACUGGGCGUAAAGCGUGCGUAGGCGGCUUUUUAAGUCGGAUGUGAAAUCCCUGAGCUUAACUUAGGAAUUGCAUUCGAUACUGGGAAGCUAGAGUAUGGGAGAGGAUGGUAGAAUUCCAGGUGUAGCGGUGAAAUGCGUAGAGAUCUGGAGGAAUACCGAUGGCGAAUGCAGCCAUCUGGCCUAAUACUGACGCUGAGGUACGAAAGCAUGGGGAGCAAACAGGAUUAGAGACCCCAGUAGUCCCUGUCUCUUAUAC
rnacentral:rRNA from 1 species